GGAUGAGGGAGGGCUUGAUCUGAGCA
rnacentral:piRNA from 1 species